rnacentral:rRNA from 1 species
GUAGGAGGCGAGCGUUAUCCGGAUUCACUGGGCGUAAAGCGCGUGCAGGCGGUUUGGUAAGUUGGGCGUGAAAGCUCCCGGCUCAACUGGGAGAGGUCGUUCAAUACUACCGAACUAGAGAGUAGAAGAGGAAGAUGGAAUUCCCGGUGUAGUGGUGAAAUGCGUAGAUAUCGGGAGGAACACCAGUGGCGAAGGCGAUCUUCUGGUCUAUUUCUGACGCUCAGACGCGACAGCUAGGGUAGUAAACGGGAUUAGAGACCCCGGUAAUCCUAGCCGUAAACGAUGUGAACUUGGCGUCGGUGGCUUAAACACCAUCGGUGCCGAAGCAAACGCGAUAAGUUCACCGCCUGGGGACUACGGCCGCAAGGUUAAA